GGAUCCGCAGAGUCCGCGCGGGGAAUUCAGCUCGGCAGGCGGGGCCGUGCGCCGGCCGAGAUUCGUCUCGGACCUGGCUGGCGCGCUGCGUACUCGCAGGCAGGGUGCACUUUCCCCGGCUAGCGGAAGGCCACGACCGGUUCGGUGGCGGUCAGGAGCCCGGAGCGGGAGGUAGCCGUGAUCGGUUCACGCCGAUUGCGGAACGUACAGCCCUCCGAGGUGGACUCGCCGCUGGACCGAGGAUGCCGCGGUGGCCUCACGCCGCGGGCCGUCCGGGAGCGUUCGACUUUGGCCACGCUGCUCGCAGCCGGCCGAGACCGCGCUUCUGGUACGGGCUCGCGAACGGGGGCCGCCUAGGGUCAGUGGCGAAUCGGUCGGCAACCCACCAGACCCGUCUUGAAACACGGACCAAGGAGUCUAGCAUGUGCGCGAGUCACGGGGUCUCUCGAAACCCAAGGGCGCAAUGAAAGUGAAGGCCGCCUCCGGCUGGCCCAGGCAAGAUCCCGAGACGUUCGCGUCGAGGGCGCACUGCCGGCCCGUCUCGCUGGCAUCGACCACGAGGCGGAGCAAGAGCGCA
rnacentral:rRNA from 1 species